AGGGCCAGGCUAAAUGUAGGAGGAGUCAAACGCGUUUAACGCUGAACCCUUAAAGGUCUCGCAAGUUUUUAUUUAACCUUUAUUUAACCAGGUAGGCUAGUUGAGAACAAGUUACAUUUACAUUUACAUUUAAGUCAUUUAGCAGACGCUCUUAUCCAGAGCGACUUACAAAUUGGUGCGUUCACCUUAUGACAUCCAAGUUCUCAUUUACAAUGGCCAAGAUAAAGUUGAGGUAAAUGUCGAAAGUAUCAACAUCAACGAAAGCGACUCUUAAUCGAGCCUAACCUACAUGGAUAAAAAUAUAAACAAUGGAAAGACAUGUUAUUGUAGGGCGGAAAUAAACUAAAUGCUGCAGCAGUCAUCUUCAUCACUGCCCCUUCUGCACAUAAGGCUGAACAAUAUAUGGUCAACAACCACAUCAAAGGUCAACAACCACAUCAAAGUUCAACAACCACAUCAAAGGUCAUGCUUCAGUGAGGCACAGAGAGUUCCCAAUCAUAAAGUGGCUUCAGUUGUAGAAAUGCGACACACUGUGUUUGCUGCAAACAGCCAUGUCACUGCUACUUGGUUUCCACCAGCAUCAUUGAACCCCAUGGAUCACUUGCUGGAGAAUGCAGCAGGUCAGCAGUGGAUUCUUAUUCCAGUAUGGGAACCUGGACAUUGGACAAUGUGUGGAAGUAAAUUUAGUUUUGCCUUUGUUUGUUUAUUGUAAAACGAAGUUGCUCAUUGCCGAUCUUAUUCUUUGCUAGAAUUAUAAUACGUCAUAGCUAUGUUUCAUUAACCACCACCUCUCUUUUAGUAUAAAUCCUACAACUUUAAAGUCAAGGUUUAAAAGUUGUAUGUCAAAAGGUGUCUGUUCAUAUUUGAACACAUUUAACAGAUACUGAGGCCACAAGCUAGGGAGAUUUUCUUUCUAGAUCUUUCCAUGGCACUGGCUGGAGAGAUGGAAGUCGCACCCAACCAUUCAGGGCACCUUGUUUCAUCCCAUCUGGAUAGUGGUAGUUCAGUUUAAGACCACUUAUCCAUUUUUUUAUUAUUUUUUAUUAUCUAUGGCUCUGUUUGAUUUAAAGUAAAAUGUAAUAUGUAAAAUAUGUAUGUACGAUACAUAAUUUCCCAUUCGGUGCAUUAAACAGAUGGAAACAGAACCAUAGAUAACAUUAUCAGUUGGGGUAGUUCUCUUUGAACCCAUUGUGACCCUCCCCCCCAAAAAUUGGUGUUCGAGCCUCUAGGCUAAUUCAGUUCCAACUGUAUUCAAAACUGUUAUGCAAUGCAAAGCUGUUGAAUUGUACUUUUUCUUUACUUUCACAUACACUGUGUUCACAGAAACAUUGCUCUGAUCUUGUCCCCUGGACCUUGGAGGACUUUUGGUGUGAAUGAUGUUCAGGUUGGAUAUUCCUUUAAAUGAUUCCACUGAACUGUACCAUUUGAUUGUCAUUCCUGUAUUGAAAAUGGUACCUUGUUCACACCACAGGAUCUACCAAAGCAAGGUUUCUCAAACAACUGUGGGGUGUUUGUUGUGAUGGUAAGAUGCUAUUCAGUAUAUUAUAUUAGUCCUAUUUUCUGUUAUAACAUAUGAAAAGUUAGUAAUAUUUCUGUGCUUUCAGCAAGCAAAGCACACUAUUGUUAUUGCUCAUACUUUUUCUUGUUUAUUAUUCCUGACACUUUUUGGCACCUAUUUCCUACAGUUUUUACACUACACAAUUCAUACAUCAAACUCCUGCAGAGUGUCACGUUCUGACCAUAGUUCUGUUAUUUUAUUCUUUGUUUUAGUAUGUAGUAAGUAGUAUGUUUUAGUAUGGUCAGGGCGUGAGUUGGGGUGGGCAGUCUAUGUUGGUUUUUUUAUGUUGGUUUUUGUGUUCGGCCUAGUAUGGUUCUCAAUCAGAGGCAGGUGUCGUUAGUUGUCUCGGAUUGAGAAUCAUACUUAGGUAGCCUGGGUUUCACUUCUGGGGUGUGGGUGUUUGUUUCCGUGUGAGUGUUUGGGCCACACGGUACUGUUUCUUUUUUCGUUUUGUUCACAUCGUUUAUUGUUUUGUAUUUCAGUGUUCAGGUCGUUUUGAAUAAAUCAUCAUGAACACUUA